rnacentral:rRNA from 1 species
CAGCAGCCGCGGUAAUACGUAGGUGGCAAGCGUUGUCCGGAAUUAUUGGGCGUAAAGGGCUCGCAGGCGGUUUCUUAAGUCUGAUGUGAAAGCCCCCGGCUCAACCGGGGAGGGUCAUUGGAAACUGGGAAACUUGAGUGCAGAAGAGGAGAGUGGAAUUCCACGUGUAGCGGUGAAAUGCGUAGAGAUGUGGGGGAACACCAGUGGCGAAGGCGACUCUCUGGUCUGUAACUGACGCUGAGGAGCGAAAGCGUGGGGAGCGAACAGGAUUAGAUACCCCAGUAGUCCCUGUCUCUUAUAA